ACACAGAAACAUCCCUUUUAUUUUGUUUUAAGAGCUGCAGAUCGACCUUACCUUCUUCUUUUAAUGGGGAAGAAGAAGAAGAAGAAGAAGAAGAAGAAGAAGAAGAAGAAGAAGAAGAAGAAGAAGAAGCCUUGUGGCACCAACCUAAAUUGGUAGAAUUAAGGAAGUUUUUAGUUCCCCUGCUAAUUCAGAGAUAUAUAGAAAGCCUUCAUUUUUCAAGCACCUUUGGCAAUUUGCUUCCAGUAGUUCAACAACUCCCCUGUGGACACCUUCACAGCCUCUGUCUCUGUCUCUGGAUGUAGUGUGGAGGACGACGGUAGGACUAAUGCAGAUUUGUUCACUGUGGGCGUAUCCUGGCUUUGCUUAUGAGAGCGCACUCAAACCGGACUGUGGUAAUGCUUUGUGUAUUACAGUAAUGUUGGAUUUUAAUGAGUUUUACCUGCAGCAUUAAUUAAUAUUUUGAAUGUUUACAAAACUAUGGUGAAACGAUUGAUUGCCUUUUUUUGCAUUUUUAAAAAUCUUAAAUUUCAGUUCAUUUAACAAGCUUUAAAUUUACUCAAGUUAAUGUCAGUAAAUGUUUGUUUUCGGUCUCCAAGUUUCAUAUUUUCAGAGUUUAAUCUGUUAGAUUGCAACUUAAAAUGCUUUUCUUUUCUGGUUAAGAUUUUGUAUUUACAAGAUCAGAUAAGAGAUGUGUCAGUUUGAAGUUUCUUCUUUAAUUUUAUGCAACUAAAGCCCACUAAAUGAACCUCAUGUCGCUGUGGAUGAUUCAUUUUUUUCUCUGUUUUAAAGAAUUAACCAUGUUUAGUAACUUUUGCAUUUAAACAACAACGAGUUACAGUCCCCUUUGAAAACUGUUUUUCGCUUCAACAAAAACUCUUCUCUUUCCACGGAAUUACUCAACAAGCUCAGAAGAAAUAGCAAGUGAAGAGGAAUUACGAAAUUCGAGCACUGCCACAGGAGUUACAGAGUGUGGACAUCAACCUGCAGUCAUUCUGGUCAAACUGAUGCUCUUCUGAAGAGGAGUGCAACACUUCCUGUUGCAACGUGUCCUGUAUCCUGUUUUCCACAGUCAGUGGUCAUGCGUGUCGUCCCCCCCCAACCCCCCUGCGAGGCUGUGUGGGCACAAGCUCGUGACCCUGCCUGGGCUAAGACUGAAUCAAGGGAGACUCCAGAUGUCAGAUAGAAACACUGAAUGUCAGCAAAAAAAGAAAAAAAAAUGAUGGUAGGAUAAAUAUAUCCAUGUCUGUUGAGAAAUGACUCUGACUUUAGCCUGAGUUUCUGGACUGCUUUGCAAGUUGAGUGGACAGAUAAGGGGAAAACAGACAUAUUUACAGGCUCUGUUCAUGAGUAUUUAAGAGUCCAGUAAGCACAGUUACAGUGACAUUUGACAGUUAGAACACUGCUUCCUUCUGCCUCUUAAAAUAAUACACAUUAAGUUAUGAGAACAUUGACACCUCCAUGAAGCAGGCCCCAAGGCUCAAUGGGGCCAGACUAUGUGACUAAGUAUUAAGAGGUGCUGGUGUUGACAGUAACUGUUCAUACCAUCACAGAUAUGUAUCUUGUGACUGCAUUCAAAUAGAAAACUGUGAAGUGCUCAGUUACACACUGCGGUGGGACAAACCAGAAAGCAGCACAUGGUCGGGGCUGCUAAAGGCCACGAGUGUGUAACUUCACAAGGUGUUGCUUAAACUAAAAAAAGACAAAGUUGGUAUCUUUAUUUCACACACCAUCUCACUGAUCCUGUUUUUUUUUUAAAGUGUUAUCAACCAGGUCACAAUGAUCGGAUUAUUUGUGAGUAACUGUUUUUCAGCCCAUGCAAAGCAAAAACAGGAGCAUGAAUAUCAAAAACAUACAAAGAACUGAAAAAAAGAAGCACUCUGAUUGUACUUUAACUUAUUUAAUCGGGGUGUGGAGACUUAUAGCCUCGCCGAAAUGCACCUGUUGCUCAGCUAUGCGCCUUCAUUCCCUCAUUAAAUGAGCUAAAGAUCUUCAGUGCGCUGAAUUUUUCCAGUUAUUAGCCUAGCCUAGCCUAGCAUGAAAGCUAAAAACGGUUCAUUGUAAGUCUGGUAGGCUAAUUUACAAGAAAGGAAAAUUGGUUUAUUAGGAUCUUAAAUAAUGAAAACCUGAUUAACACACAAUUUUGUUUAUGCUAAAUGAUAGUUCUGUUAAAUUUAAGCUGUUUCUGUGCUUUGAGUUCAAUGAAGUAGCUUGUUGCUAGCUGUUAGCCCUGGUUACAGGCCUUGCACUAAGCUAAGCUAAGCUAACUUUCCCAGCUACGGUGGCUCCAUUUCCUCAUGUAACUCUUUGUAGCUCUGUAGUUGGUCAAAUUAAAGCAUUACAAAUGUCUAAAUGUGCCAAGAGAUUGUUUGACGAUCAACAAGCCAGUCAAAUGUUUUGGAUGUAAAGUCUGUAAAGAAAAUUGCCACAAGCUGAAGAAUUUAUUAAAUGAAGUGAAGAGUCCGAAAUGUUUCCUGAUUUUUUUUUUUGUCUUUUGUUAAAAGCUUUUGUAAACAGAGGCAUCACGAGGUAAAACUUGAGUGGAGAACCUCAAACAACAGAAAACUAUUGGG